AUGUGCCCGCCCAGCGCCUUAUGUACACCCUGCCCAGUAGCGGCACGGAGCACCGCCGCGCUCUUGCAUUUGCCGCAGUUCUCCGAAGGCGUUAGGUUCAGGUCCAGGCAGAUCCCUCCGUCGUCGCACGAGGCCACCACCAUCUCGGUCGCCGCUGCCGCCUUGCUGCUCGGGGCGUUGGCCCCGGCCUCGGCCUCGGCUUCAACGCGGUGCCGGCGCAUGUGCCCACCCAGCGCCUGGCCGACGGCGAACUCGAGCCCGCAGACGGGGCACUCGUGCACCCUCGGCCUUGCCGGCUGCGGCGGCGCCUGGGGAGCCCGGCGGCCGAGGCAGAGCGCUGCGUCGUCGUCGACGCGGACGAGCGCGUGCUGCGGGGGUGUGUGGUGCAGCCUAGGGCGCUUGUGGCUGGCGCGGUGUCCCCCGAGCGCCUGGAACGUGGGGAACUGCCGGUUGCACGUCUUGCACUCGAACAUGCGGCCGCCGCCCAUUGCCUGCGGCGCCCCGGCGACGCCGCUCUGGUGGUGCUGA
rnacentral:rRNA from 1 species